rnacentral:rRNA from 2 species
AGAAGGGCGUUUGGUGGAUGCCUUGGCAGCAAGAGGCGAUGAAGGACGUGAUACUCUGCGAUAAGCUCUGGGGAGCCGAGAAUAGGCUUUGAUCCAGGGAUCUCCGAAUGGGGCAACCCACCUGAAAGUUCUCUGUUGUUUACUUCGGUAAUCAACAGAUUGCUUAACCAGGUAUUCUAGACCUGAAUACAUAGGGUUUAGAAAGCAAACCCGGGGAACUGAAACAUCUAAGUACCCGGAGGAAAGGAAAUCAAUUGAUACUCCCCUAGUAGCGGCGAGCGAACGGGGACCAGCCGAGCCGUGAGUGUGAUUGGAAUGGCCUGGGAAGGCCAGCCAGAGUGGGUGACAGCCCCGUACAAGAAGCAUGAUCGGACGUAUUAAGUAGGGCGGGACACGUGAAAUCCUGUCUGAAGAUCGGAGGACCACCUUCGAAGGCUAAGUACUCCUUGCUGACCGAUAGCGAACCAGUACCGUGAGGGAAAGGUGAAAAGCACCCCGACGAGGGGAGUGAAACAGUACCUGAAACCGGACGCUUACAAGCAGUGGGAGGGCCCUUGAGGCCUGACCGCGUACCUUUUGUAUAAUGGGUCAUCGACUUGGUCUCACGAGCAAGCUUAAGCCGUUAGGUGUAGGCGCAGCGAAAGCGAGUCUUAAUAGGGCGUUUAGUUCGUGGGAUCAGACCCGAAACCGAGUGAUCUAGGCAUGACCAGGAUGAAGGUUAGGUAACACUAACUGGAGGUCCGAACCCACACCUGUUGAAAAAGGUCGGGAUGAGUUGUGCCUAGGGGUGAAAGGCCAAUCAAACUCGGAGAUAGCUGGUUCUCCGCGAAAUCUAUUUAGGUAGAGCGUCAUCCGAAUACCCCGGGGGGUAGAGCACUGGAUGGGUAAUGGGGCCCCACAGGCUUACUGAUCCUAACCAAACUCCGAAUACCCGGGAGUACUAGAUGGCAGACACACGGCGAAUGCUAACGUCCGUCGUGAAGAGGGAAACAACCCUGACCUCCAGCUAAGGCCCCUAAUUCAUGGCUAAGUGGGAAAGCAGGUGGGACGACCAAAACAACCAGGAGGUUGGCUUAGAAGCAGCCAUCCUUUAAAGAUAGCGUAACAGCUCACUGGUCUAAAUAAGUUGUCCUGCGGCGAAGAUGUAACGGGGCUCAAGCCAUGAGCCGAAGCUGAGGAUGCACAUAGUGCAUGGUAGCGGAGCGUAGUGUGACAUAGAGCUAUGCUUGUUUAUCGCCUGGAUACGAGGCGCGGAAACGCGCUCAAGUAGCCGGAGGCGGUAGCGCAAGCAAAGCUCUUUCGAUGAAGCCCGGGCGUGAGCCAUCGGGUGGAGAGAUCACUAGCGAGAAUGAUGACAUGAGUAGCGACAAACAGGGUGAGAGACCCUGUCGCCGAAAGUCCAAGGGUUCCUGCUUAAAGCUAAUCUGAGCAGGGUAAGCCGACCCCUAAGGCGAGGCCGAAAGGCGUAGUCGAUGGGAACCAGGUUAAUAUUCCUGGGCCAUGAGGUGGUGACGGAUCUCGAAGGUUGUUCAUCCUUAUCGGAUUGAAUGGGCAGCUUAGAGGUUCCUGGAAAUAGCCCCUCUAUAAGAUCGUACCCGAAACCGACACAGGUGGACUGGUAGAGAAUACCAAGGCGCUUGAGAGAACGAUGUUGAAGGAACUCGGCAAAAUACCUCCGUAAGUUCGCGAGAAGGAGGCCCAGUUUCUAGGCAACUAGUGGCUGGGGGCACAAACCAGGGGGUGGCGACUGUUUACUAAAAACACAGGGCUCUGCGAAGUCGCAAGACGACGUAUAGGGUCUGACGCCUGCCCGGUGCCUGAAGGUUAAAAGGAGGAGUGCAAGCUCUGAAUUGAAGCCCAGGUAAACGGCGGCCGUAACUAUAACGGUCCUAAGGUAGCGAAAUUCCUUGUCGGGUAAGUUCCGACCUGCACGAAUGGCGUAACGACUUCCCCGCUGUCUCCAACAUCGACUCAGCGAAAUUGAAUUACCUGUCAAGAUGCAGGUUACCCGCGGUUAGACGGAAAGACCCCGUGCACCUUUACUACAGCUUCAGACUGGUAUCAGGCCAGGCAUGUGCAGGAUAGGUGGUAGGCUUCGAAGCAGGGACGCCAGUCCCUGUGGAGCCACCCUUGAGAUACCACCCUUGCCUCGCUUGAUAUCUAACCGCGGUCCGUCAUCCGGAUCCGGGACCCUCUGUGGCGGGUAGUUUGACUGGGGCGGUCGCCUCCUAAAGAGUAACGGAGGCGCGCGAAGGUUGGCUCAGAGCGGUCGGACAUCGCUCGUUGAGUGCAAUGGCAGAAGCCAGCCUGACUGCGAGACUGACAAGUCGAGCAGAGUCGAAAGACGGCCAUAGUGAUCCGGUGGUCCCAAGUGGGAGGGCCAUCGCUCAACGGAUAAAAGGUACGCCGGGGAUAACAGGCUGAUGAUGCCCAAGAGUCCAUAUCGACGGCAUCGUUUGGCACCUCGAUGUCGGCUCAUCUCAUCCUGGGGCUGGAGCAGGUCCCAAGGGUACGGCUGUUCGCCGUUUAAAGAGGUACGUGAGCUGGGUUUAGAACGUCGUGAGACAGUUCGGUCCCUAUCUUCCGUGGGUGUAGGAUACUUGAGAGGAGUUGCCCCUAGUACGAGAGGACCGGGGUGAACGAUCCACUGGUGGACCAGUUGUCAUGCCAAUGGCAGUGCUGGGUAGCUAUGAUCGGACAGGAUAACCGCUGAAGGCAUCUAAGCGGGAAGCCCCCCUCAAAACAAGGUAUCCCUGAGGACCGUGGCAGACUACCACGUCGAUAGGCCGGAGAUGUAAGCGCAGCAAUGCGUUCAGUUGACCGGUACUAAUUGUCCGAUAGGCUUGAUU